rnacentral:rRNA from 1 species
GACGUAGGGUGCGAGCGUUGUCCGGAUUUAUUGGGCGUAAAGAGCUCGUAGGCGGCUUGUUGCGUCGGCUGUGAAAACCCGCAGCUCAACCCCGGGCCUGCAUUCGAUACGGGCAGACUAGAGUUCGGUAGGGGAGUCUGGAAUUCCUGGUGUAGCGGUGAAAUGCGUAGAUAUCGGAAGGAACAUCAGUGGCGAAGGCGACUUCCGGGACCAAUACUGACGCUCAGGUGCGAAAGCGUGGGGAGCAAACAGG